AGUGAAGCGGGAUGAGCUCAAAUUUAAAAUCUGGCUGGUUUACUAGUCCGAAUUGUAGUUUAAAGAAGCGUUUUCGGUGGCAGCCUGGGUAUAAAUCCUUUGGAACAGGGUAUCAUAGAGGGUGAGAAUCCCGUCUUUGACUCAGUGCAUGCUACUAUGUGAUACGUUUUCAAAGAGUCGAGUUGUUUGGGAAUGCAGCUCAAAAUGGGUGGUAAAUUUCAUCUAAGGCUAAAUAUUGGCGAGAGACCGAUAGCGAACAAGUACCGUGAGGGAAAGAUGAAAAGAACUUUGAAAAGAGAGUUAAACAGUGCGUGAAAUUGUUGAAAGGGAAACGCUUGACACCAGUCAUGCGAGCGGAAAAUCAGUCUUUUGCAGUGGGGAGUUGUGUGGGUUCGGACCGCAAGGCCGGCCUGUGCUGCAUCUCUGCUGUAAGUGAUGCACUUUUUCGUUUGCAGGCCAACAUCAGUUUCUUCUGCUGGACAAAACUCUUGAGAAGGUAGCAGCUUAGGCUGUGUUAUAGCUCUUGAGCGAUACAGUGGAGGGGACUGAGGUUUUCGCAGCGCGUGCUCUCGGGCAAGGCUGAUUGGGUGCUAUGGGAUCGUUCGGUGUACAAUGCAUGCAUUUUGCGCCGUGUCUUUUCUAUACUCGCUCAACUCGGCUCUUCCGCGCUUAGGAUGUUGGCUUAAUGGUUUUAAUCGACC
rnacentral:rRNA from 1 species